rnacentral:rRNA from 1 species
AUUGAACGCUGGCGGCAGGCCUAACACAUGCAAGUCGAGCGGAGCGGCGGACGGGUGAGUAAUGCCUAGGAAUCUGCCUGGUCGUGGGGGAUAACGUCCGGAAACGGGCGCUAAUACCGCAUACUAUCAGAUGAGCCUAGGUCGGAUUGGCUUGUUGGUGGGGUAAAGGCCUACCAAGGCGACGAUCCGUAGCUGGUUCGAGAGGAUGAUAAGUCACACUGGAACUGAGACACGGUCCAGACUCCUACGGGAGGCAGCAGUGGGGAAUAUUGGAAAAUGGGCGCAAGCCUGAUCCAGCCAUGCCGCGUGUUUGAAGAAGGGCUUCGGAUUGUAAAGGACUUUAAGUUGGGAGGCGUUACCAACAGAAGAAGCACCGGCUAACUUCGUGCCAGCAGCCGCGGUAAUAC